GGAAGGGCUGUAGCCUAAUGGUAGCGCCAUCUGCUUUGCAUGCAGAAGGUUCCAGGUUCAAUCCCCGGUCUCUCCA